UGAUCUGUCAUCUCUUUUGUAGCAAUCCAUGUCUCCGCAGCAAGCCUUCUUCCCACGUACCUAUAUGGAGAGGGUGUAAAUGCCUGCCAAUACGGAGAGAGGGUUCACAAUCACAUGUCAAUAUUUUAAGAGGCGAGACUUUGAUUUGAACGCCCUGAUCAAACUACAAUUCCUCCUAUCAAAGUGUGAUGGAGCAUCCUCAAACCGUUUAAUUAAGUAAGGUGGUGCAGGCAAAUAAUUCUUUCCAAGAGUCUGUUGUUACCAAGGCCGACCCCUCAAAGACAAUUCGGCAGUGGAGGGAUCUUCAAGAGUACAUAAAUGUGAUGUACAAUAGCAAGCUGCUAAUGGUUAGUGAAUUUGUAUUUCAAAUUCUCUGUUAAGUGUUUUAAUG